AGUGAACGCUGGCGGUAGGCCUAACACAUGCAAGUCGAACGGCAGCACAGUAAGAGCUUGCUCUUACGGGUGGCGAGUGGCGGACGGGUGAGGAAUACAUCGGAAUCUACUUUUUCGUGGGGGAUAACGUAGGGAAGCUUACGCUAAUACCGCAUACGACCUACGGGUGAAAGCAGGGGAUCUUCGGACCUUGCGCGAUUGAAUGAGCCGAUGUCGGAUUAGCUAGUUGGCGGGGUAAAGGCCCACCAAGGCGACGAUCCGUAGCUGGUCUGAGAGGAUGAUCAGCCACACUGGAACUGAGACACGGUCCAGACUCCUACGGGAGGCAGCAGUGUGGAAUAUUGGACAAAGGGCGCAAGCCUGAUCCAGCCAUACCGCGUGGGUGAAGAAGGCCUUCGGGUUGUAAAGCCCUUUUGUUGGGAAAGAAAAGCAGCAGGUUAAUACCCCGCUGUUCUGACGGUACCCAAAGAAUAAGCACCGGCUAACUUCGUG
rnacentral:rRNA from 1 species